AAGGUGUAAAAACCGGUAGAAACUAACGGAAUGCCUUCAAGGGACGCAGUGACAGCGUGAGUGCCUGUACUGUCCUCAGCUCGCGUCUGGAGAUGUUGGGUUAAGUCCCGCAACGAGCGCAACCCACGUCUUUAGUUGCCAGCAUUGAGUUGGGCACUCUAGAGAGACCGCCGGUGAUAAACCGGAGGAAGGUGUGGAUGACGUCAAGUCAUCAUGCCCCUUACAUCCUGGGCUACACACGUACUACAAUGCUACGGACAAAGGGCAGCAAACUCGCGAGAGCUAGCAAAUCCCAUAAACCGUGGCUCAGUUCAGAUCGUAGGCUGCAACUCGCCUACGUGAAGGAGGAAUCGCUAGUAAUCGCAGGUCAGCAUACUGCGGUGAAUACGUUCCCGGGUCUUGUACACACCGA
rnacentral:rRNA from 1 species